UACGAGAUGUGCGAGCGUUGUUCGGAAUCACUGGGCAUAAAGGGUGCGUAGGCGGUGCGUCAAGUCGGGUGUGAAAUCCCUCCGCUCAACGGAGGAACUGCACUCGAUACUAGCGCGCUAGAGGGUCAAAGGGGCAAGCGGAAUUCUAGGUGUAGCGGUGGAAUGCGUAGAUAUCUGGGAGAACGCCGAGGGCGAAGGCAGCUUGCUGGGUGACAUCUGACGCUGAGGCACGAAAGCUAGGGGAGCAAAC
rnacentral:rRNA from 1 species